rnacentral:rRNA from 1 species
AGAACGAACGCUGGCGGCAUGCCUAACACAUGCAAGUCGAACGAGACCUUCGGGUCUAGUGGCGCACGGGUGCGUAACGCGUGGGAAUCUGCCCUUAGGUACGGAAUAACAGUGAGAAAUUACUGCUAAUACCGUAUGAUGUCUUCGGACCAAAGAUUUAUCGCCUAGGGAUGAGCCCGCGUUGGAUUAGCUAGUUGGUGGGGUAAAGGCCUACCAAGGCGACGAUCCAUAGCCGGUCUGAGAGGAUGAUCAGCCACACUGGGACUGAGACACGGCCCAGACUCCUACGGGAGGCAGCAGUGGGGAAUAUUGGACAAUGGGCGAAAGCCUGAUCCAGCAAUGCCGCGUGAGUGAAGAAGGCCUUCGGGUUGUAAAGCUCUUUUACCCGGGAAGAUAAUGACUGUACCGGGAGAAUAAGCCCCGGCUAACUCCGUGCCAGCAGCCGC